CUUUUGGCUACUCCCUGAUCACAUUCAGGGUGCAAAAAUGCUAGGAGUGAACAGUUAACCAAUCCCCAUCCUGCACCAGCCCAUAUGACAGAAACUAUUUGGAAUUCUUUUACAGGAUGCGCUAGCUAAUGCAGAUAAGCUCUGUGGCAUCAAUUCACCCUCCAGAAGAAACCCAAAUAGCAACACAGGAUGAAGGUCAAGGAUUAACUGAUGCUAAUGGAAAUGUUCCCAGUGACCGUCCAGAUAAAAUAUUGUAUCCCAGCUGAUGAGGCCGGCACAUGAUGACAACACUACAAGCACCAAGAAAAUUGAUGCAAUGGCCUGUCUUAAGUUGGCUUCCUCUAUUGGUCUUUUAUCUGACAAGACACCUUUGGCAAAGUCUCAUCAAUAUGCUACUUUUCAUCUGCCUGACACUGAAAUCAAUGGACUGCAGAAGAAGCCUCUCGAUCAGCAUUGUCAGAAAUGAUCACCAUGCUGGACGGAGCAUGCUACCUGAUUUCUCCUGACUGAACUCCCACAAAAGCAUGGCUGCAAAUCCCAGAGAAAGAAGAAAGAGAACUUACAUAAAGGAGGCUUUCUGGAGAACUCGCUGUAAGAGGGUCAAUGCGGAAAUAUGGAAUGUGCUUAGGAGUCCACUGAAGCAGCCCAGGUAAGAGACAACUGACUUACAGUGGUUGGGGAGUGAGAAGUAGUCAGAUUCAGGAUAUACUGAUAGCCUCACACAUCAAUAUCCUUAGACAGGGAAAAAGAGAAUAUCCCUCCAGUGUCCCUUUUAAACAGCAAUCAUAUCACCCACCUGCUCAGAACUCUCCAAACACUUCCCACAUUAUGAGAAAAUUCAAGAUUCUAAUCAUGGCUAGACGGUCCUUCUGAUCCAAUGUACCACCUCUGAGAUCUCAUUUCUUGCCAAUUUCCUUGGUCACUCCUUUCCAGCCAUGUUUACUUCCUUGCUGUUUCCCAAACACAUCAAACAUGUCCCUACCCUUGGGGCUUUGAACUUGUCUGGAAGCUCUCUUCUCCAGAAGUUCCCACAGUGUACUCCCCUCCUUCAUUUAGGUCUUACCUUGUAGGCCAAAGAAGAAUUCUCUGAUAACUAUUUAUAAAGUAACAGCUCCAGCCAGGCUCGAUGGCUCACACCUCGAAUCCCAGCACAUUGGGAGGCCAAGGCAGGAGGAUCACUGGAACCCAGAAGCUCAAGACCAGUCUGGGCAACAUGGAGAAACUUCGUCUCUACAAAAAAAUACAAAAGUUAGCCAGGCAUGGUGGCAUGCUCCUGUGGUCCCAGCCAAUUGGGAGGCUAGGGUGGGAGGAUCACUUGGGCCCAGGAGUUCAAGGCUGCAGUGAGCUGUGAUCACACCACUGCACUCCAGCCUGGGUGAUAGAGUGAGACUCUGCCUCCAAAAAAAGAAAAAGAAAAAAAAAAAAAAAAAGGAACACCUCCUUCAACACUAUUUUACCUUGCACAGCAAUAUUGUUCUUCACAGCAGUUUUCACUACUUGAAAUAUAUGUAUCACCCCCUCCCCUUUUGUGAGCCUCUGUUUUCUUUAAAGUGUAACUUGAUGAAGGCAGAUAAUUUGUUUCUUGUCUAAUAACAGAGCAGGAGAUCUAUCUGGAAACUUAUAGCCAGCUUAUUCCACUGGGUCCACUCAGUCCCACUGUAUUUUCAGUACCUACAACCUUAGCACAUAAUACUCACUCAGUGAACAAUUGUGAAAUAAAUGAAUAAAAGUAAUGCCUAGAGCUGCUACAGCCAUCCCGUGACCAUAAAGAAAUUUCUUGACAAGUGGUGGAAGGUGCAGCACAAAGACUAAAAGAACCUGGAUCCACGGGGAAGCCCCUAAGCUGUGGAAUCCAUCAUUUCAGUAAGAGCCCUAGCUUUUAGUUGUCAUAUGAGACAAUAAGUUCAGCCACUUUAAUUUGGAAUUGCUGCUUACUCCACAACUAGGACUGCCCUAACUGCUGCGUAAUUUUAAUCUUCUAGAAAAAUAUCACAUUUCAAUUUCUAGAAUAUGUCAUCCAAGAGCAUUUUCCUUUCCCAUUUCUCAUACAAUCUGCAUAAAUUCA
rnacentral:lncRNA from 1 species